rnacentral:rRNA from 1 species
AGAGUUUGAUCCUGGCUCAGGACGAACGCUGGCGGCGUGCCUAAUACAUGCAAGUCGAACGGUCUUUUCUAUGGAAGCUUGCUUCCACUGAGAAGAUAGUGGCGAACGGGUGAGUAACACGUGGGUAACCUGCCCAUAAGAGGGGGAUAACAUCCGGAAACGGGUGCUAAUACCGCAUAGUUUUCUUGAUCGCAUGAUCGAGAAAGGAAAGACGGCCUUUGUGCUGUCGCUUAUGGAUGGACCCGCGGCGUAUUAGUUAGUUGGUGAGGUAAUGGCUCACCAAGACGAUGAUACGUAGCCGACCUGAGAGGGUGAUCGGCCACAUUGGGACUGAGACACGGCCCAAACUCCUACGGGAGGCAGCAGUAGGGAAUCUUCCGCAAUGGACGAAAGUCUGACGGAGCAACGCCGCGUGAGUGAAGAAGGUUUUCGGRUCGUAAAACUCUGUUGUCAGAGAAGAACAAGUAGGAGAGUAACUGCUCCGGSCUUGACGGUAUYUGAMCMRAAAGSCMCGG